UUUGGGAUCCAAUUCGGGAUUUUCCUUGGGAGGUAUCGGGAAGGAAUUGGAAUGGAAUAAUAUCGAUUCAUAUAGAUACAGAAGAAAAAGUUCUCUAUUGAUUCAAAUGCUGUACCUAUGGGAUAAGGAUAGAGAAAGAGGAAAAAACCGAAGAUUUCACAUAGUACUUUUGAUCGAAAAAUCAAUCCGAUCUAUUUCGUACCCUUCGCUCAACGAGAAAAUGGAUCAGAUUCUAUAGGAUCAACCCUAUGGGACUUAAGGAAUGAUGGAAGGGAAUAAAAUAAAAUAAAAAAAAAAAAAAAAGAAAUAAAAAAAGAAAAGCGAGGGAAAAAAAUAAUAAAGAAAUAAGUAAAUAAAAAUGAAGUAGAAGAACCCAGAUUCCAAAUGAACAAAUUGAAACUGGAAAAGGAUCUUUCUGAUUCUCGAAGAAUGAGGGGCAAGGGGAUUGAUCGAGAAAGAUCUCUUGUUCUUAUUAUAAGUUAUAAGAUCGUGUGAUUGGAUCCGCAGAUGUUUG
rnacentral:lncRNA from 1 species